GCUUGCUACAGCCUGCUUCCGCACACCUGACGUCAUGUGUAUACGGGGCGAGGGCCGCUCACAACUCUCCUCCCUCUCUCUACGCCAGGUGUGACUGUUUCCAUGUCAUUCCUUGUGUAUACGCGUCGGUGUAUCCUCUCUCUCGCUCUUUAAGUCAAACUUUACUAGUGUCUUCUAGUCCGAGGGAUCAGCAUUGUAAAUCUGCAGAUCCAUCUUGGCCAGAAUUUCUGAACCAGGGAGGAAUUCUUCCAGAGGGGAGGAAGAACUGGGAAUUGUGUUUUCUACAAACUACAAAUCUACAGAUUGUGCAUAAUCUAUAGAACGUCAUACCUUACUGUAUGUCAAAGAGCAGAUGGGAUGAAAGUAAGAUAAUGUUAACUGGUUGACCAUGUUUAUGUUAACAUUUUUGACACAUGGUGGCAGUGAUUUGCAGAAGCCGAAUAACAACAUAGGUAUUCAGGUGGGUACAGGGGGGGGGG